rnacentral:rRNA from 1 species
UGCAAGUCGAACGGUAACAGGAAGCAGCUUGCUGCUUCGCUGACGAGUGGCGGACGGGUGAGUAAUGUCUGGGAAACUGCCUGGUGGAGGGGGAUAACUACUGGAAACGGUAGCUAAUACCGCAUAACGUCGCAAGACCAAAGAGGGGGACCUUCGGACCUCUUGCCAUCGGAUGUGCCCAGAUGGGAUUAGCUAGUAGGUGGGGUAACGGCUCACCUAGGCGACGAUCCCUAGCUGGUCUGAGAGGAUGACCAGCCACACUGGAACUGAGACACGGUCCAGACU